AUAGAUGGAUCCGCGCUGCAUUAGCUAGUUGGUAAGGUAACGGCUUACCAAGGCAACGAUGCAUAGCCGACCUGAGAGGGUGAUCGGCCACACUGGAACUGAGACACGGUCCAGACUCCUACGGGAGGCAGCAGUAGGGAAUCUUCCGCAAUGGGCGAAAGCCUGACGGAGCAACGCCGCGUGAGUGAUGAAGGUCUUCGGAUCGUAAAACUCUGUUAUUAGGGAAGAACAUAUGUGUAAGUAACUGUGCACAUCUUGACGGUACCUAAUCAGAAAGCCACGGCUAACUACGUGCCAGCAGCCGCGGUAAUACGUAGGUGGCAAGCGUUAUCCGGAAUUAUUGGGCGUAAAGCGCGCGUAGGCGGUUUUUUAAGUCUGAUGUGAAAGCCCACGGCUCAACCGUGGAGGGUCAUUGGAAACUGGAAAACUUGAGUGCAGAAGAGGAAAGUGGAAUUCCAUGUGUAGCGGUGAAAUGCGCAGAGAUAUGGAGGAACACCAGUGGCGAAGGCGACUUUCUGGUCUGUAACUGACGCUGAUGUGCGAAAGCGUGGGGAUCAAACAGGAUUAGAUACCCUGGUAGUCCACGCCGUAAACGAUGAGUGCUAAGUGUUAGGGGGUUUCCGCCCCUUAGUGCUGCAGCUAACGCAUUAAGC
rnacentral:rRNA from 1 species